AUUGAACGCUGGCGGCAUGCCUAACACAUGCAAGUCGAACGAGUGGCGGACGGGUGAGUAAUGUCUGGGAAACUUCCCGAUGGAGGGGGAUAACUACUUGAAACGGUAGCUAAUACCGCAUACCAUCGGAUGGUCCCAGAUGGGAUUAGCGUGUUGGCGAGGUAAUGGCUCACCUAGGCGACGAUCCCUAGCUGGUCUGAGAGGAUGACCGGCCACACGUGAACUGAGCCACGGUCCAUAGUCCUACGGGAGGCAGCAGUGGGGAAUAUUGCACAAUGGGCGAAAGCCUGAUGCAGCCAUGCCGCGUGUAUGAAGAAGGUUUUCGGUUUUUAAAGUUCUGUCAUUGGGGAGGCGUUAACCACCGAGGAAGCGCCGGCUAACUCCGGGCCAGCAGCCGCGGUAAUAC
rnacentral:rRNA from 1 species